GAGAGGGCGUGGCGAGGGAAGCAGAGGAGCGCAACAGAGGAAGGUAUCUUCAGCACCCGUCCUGGACAAAUGACACCAACGUGGGGCAUAAGAGGAGUUUCAAGUUCUCAGGAGAAGCAGGGACAGGACAUUCUUGAAAAUCCACAGAAUGUACUGACUGAUAGUCACCUGACCCUCUGGUCCCAGAUAGAGUUCGAAUGCAUGUCAUUGUCACGCCCACCUCGGCCGGCAAGGAAGACGCAACACAGUCGGAUUCUUCUCAACAGCCUUUAUUGCAGGACCACCUCUUUGCUGAUAUGGGGACCUUGAGCGGCAAAAACGCUCGCCUUAUAUACACAACAGGCUGUGGCUAUGCUAAUUGUCCUUCAGGGAUUGGCGGAGCACGAAUCACCCCACUAUCACCCCUGCUAUUUGUCCUCCAGGGAUUGGCGGAGAACGAAUCACCUCACUAGAAUGGUACCGUCCCGGCCAACUGACUCCAGGUGCAAAACCCGUGCAUGCGCAGUACCAUUGUUCACCACAGGAGGGCGCCCUACAUGUCAUGCUUGCUAGCCAAUAGAUUCAAAGGUCAAUAUGCUUAGCCAAUAAGUUUAAACUGUAACCUUGACCUGUACCCCUAAAAAAGUAUAAAAACUGCUUGUUAUAGCCAUUCGAGGUCACCUUCCAGUCACUCAGCCCCACGAGGAGCCUAAUUGAAGUCGACCCUGACGCGCUGGAAAAUAAACCUCUUGCAUUUGCAUCUAACUCUGUUCUUGUGUCUCACUUGGGGGGUCUCCCAGUACUUAAAACUCGAGCCUUACAAACAAAGAGUGAUUUAUUCUGCAGAAGCCCAGCAUGCUGGGGGUGGGGCGUCUCCCAUUACCAAGAUAGAGAGACCUCUAUGUGAGUUCACAAUUGAAAGCACAUUAGGGGAGUUCCAGGGUAGGUGGGCUCUUUCUUUAUCUCUAGUCAAGUGCAGUAGUGAGAAGGGGAAAGUAUAGAUCAGGACUUCAAUCUGUAACGGUGAACAAUCCAUUGAGAUAACGCACUACCUUUAGACCAGCCUGUCUGAUUCCUCAGCAGGAUGAGACAUCCCUGUGACUUGUUAUCUCUCACAAACAACAGCUUUCGAUUCACGGCUUCUGGCAAAUGUUUGGGAGAGGAAGGGCUCGGUUUUAUUUAAGGGGCAGGCCACUGAGAGUUUGACCGUGCUCUCCAGUGACUACAUCG
ensembl:lncRNA